GAUGAACGCUGGCGGCGUGCUUAAUACAUGCAAGUCGAACGGAGUUUAAAUGAAACCUAGUGAUUUUAAACUUAGUGGCGGACGGGUGAGUAACGCGUGGGUAACCUGCCCUGUACAGGGGGAUAACGGCUGGAAACGGCCGCUAAAACCGCAUAACAUCGGAAUACCGCAUGAUGUUCCGGUCAAAUAUUUAUAGGUACAGGAUGGGCCCGCGUCUGAUUAGCUAUAUGGUGAGGUAACGGCCCACCAUGGCGACGAUCAGUAGCCGUACUGAGAGGUAUAACGGCCACAUUGGGACUGAGACACGGCCCAUACUCCUACGGGAGGCAGCAGUAGGGAAUAUUGGUCAAUGGGGGAAACCCUGAACCAGCGACGCCGCGUGAGUGAAGAAGUAUUUCGGUAUGUAAAGCUCUAUCAGCAGGGACGAUAAUGACGGUACCUGACUAAGAAGCCCCGGCUAACUACGUGCCAGCAGCCGCGGUAAUACGUAGGGGGCAAGCGUUAUCCGGAUUUACUGGGUGUAAAGGGAGUGUAGGUGGUCAUGCAAGUCAGAUGUGAAAUUCCGGGGCUCAACCCCGGACUGCAUUUGAAACUGCGUGACUGGAGUGCAGGAGAGGCAAGCGGAAUUCCUAGUGUAGCGGUGAAAUGCGUAGAUAUUAGGAGGAACACCAGUGGCGAAGGCGGCUUGCUGGACGACAACUGACGUUGAGGCGCGAAACGCGUGGGGAGCAAACA
rnacentral:rRNA from 1 species